AUUGAACGCUGGCGGCAUGCCUUACACAUGCAAGUCGAACGGCAGCACGGGAGCAAUCCUGGUGGCGAGUGGCGAACGGGUGGGUAAUACAUCGGGACGUGCCCGGUAGUGGGGGAUAACCCGGCGAAAGCCGGACUAAUACCGCAUACGACCUACGGGUGAAAGCAGGGGAUCGCAAGACCUUGCGCUAUCGGAGCGGCCGAUGUCAGAUUAGCUUGUUGGCGGGGUAAAAGCCCACCAAGGCGACGAUCUGUAGCUGGUCUGAGAGGACGACCAGCCACACUGGGACUGAGACACGGCCCAGACUCCUACGGGAGGCAGCAGUGGGGAAUUUUGGACAAUGGGCGCAAGCCUGAUCCAGCCAUGCCGCGUGCGGGAAGAAGGCCUCGGUUGGUAACGU
rnacentral:rRNA from 1 species